CGUAGGUGGCAAGCGUUGUCCGGAAUUAUUGGGCGUAAAGCGCGCGCAGGCGGUCCUUUAAGUCUGAUGUGAAAGCCCACGGCUCAACCGUGGAGGGUCAUUGGAAACUGGGGACUUGAGUACAGAAGAGGAAAGCGGAAUUCCACGUGUAGCGGUGAAAUGCGUAGAGAUGUGGAGGAACACCAGUGGCGAAGGCGGCUUUCUGGUCUGUAACUGACGCUGAGGCGCGAAAGCGUGGGAGCAAACAGGAUU
rnacentral:rRNA from 1 species